AAACCGGAUAGUAUAAAUAUCCUGACAAAUAAAUUUAACUUAGGUACCACGAUUAAAAUUGAAAUUGAGACAAAAAAUCUGGCAACUAUAAGUCACCGCACGGAAUUCAAAAAUGAACAAAACCCAUACUGAAUAAUUAGCUAUAAAAGGCUCCGACAAAUGUAAAAAAGUUCAAAAGAGAAAACUAACGACCUUAUGUAAAAACAAUAAACGAAAAACAGGUAAGACAUACAACAAUAUACAACAACCC
rnacentral:lncRNA from 1 species